AGCAAUUUGUAAAAAAAACACUUUUCUAAAAUUAAAGGUGAUUCAAUCAUUGUUCAUCUAACUGGUGCAUGUUUGCCUUGAUACAGAGUCAGAGAACUUACAAAGGAUUCUUAUGUUGUUAUACUGGUACAUAUUUUAAGAACACACAUUUGUCUAAAAUUUGUUGUUUUUCUUAUGAAAAAAGCAUCUUAAUUACGUUUGAAGAGGGCAUUGUAGUGAUUAAACUGGCAUUUGGACAGUAGUAUUGACUUGAACUUUGUAAAUGACGUUUGUCUGUAUCUUAGGGAUCAUUGUUUGGUCAGGUCCUGAUCAGUGGUGGAUCCAGAAAUUUUUACAAGUGGGGGGCCCACUGACUGCCUAAGAGGGGGCCCUCUCCAGUCAUGCUUCACUGAUUCCCUAUAUAAGCAACCAAAUUUUCCCCAGAAAAGGGGGGGGGCAGGCCCCCUGAAAAACCCUUUAAAUCAACCUCUGCUGAUAAUGCUACUUUCCUAGUCGUAUAAGUUACUAUCAUGUUAUUCAUAAUAUUCAACAGGCUAAAGUUCCAACCAAUAAGUCUUUGAAGUACACAAC
rnacentral:lncRNA from 1 species